rnacentral:rRNA from 1 species
GAUGAACGCUGGCGGCGUGCUUAACACAUGCAAGUCGAACGAAGCACUUUAUUACAAUUUCUUCGGAAUGACGAUUUAGUGACUGAGUGGCGGACGGGUGAGUAACGCGUGGGUAACCUGCCUUAUACAGGGGGAUAACAGUUAGAAAUGACUGCUAAUACCGCAUAAGCGCACAGGAUUGCAUGAUCUGGUGUGAAAAACUCCGGUGGUAUAAGAUGGACCCGCGUCUGAUUAGCUGGUUGGUGAGGUAACGGCCCACCAAGGCGACGAUCAGUAGCCGACCUGAGAGGGUGACCGGCCACAUUGGGACUGAGACACGGCCCAAAACUCCUACGGGAGGCAGCAGUGGGGAAUAUUGCACAAUGGGGAAACCCUGAUGCAGCGACGCCGCGUGAGCGAAGAAGUAUUCGGUAUGUAAAGCGUCUAUCAGCAGGGAAGAAAAAAAUGAACGGUACCUGACUAAGAAGACCCGGCUAACUACGUG